AAUUUUGGACAAUGGGGGAAACCCUGAUCCAGCCAUCCCGCGUGUAUUAUGAAGGCCUUCGGGUUGUAAAGUACUUUUGUCAGAGAAGAAAAGGUACCGCCUAAUACGAGGUACUGCUGACGGUAUCUGCAGAAUAAGCACCUGCUAACUACGUGCGAGCAACCGCGGUAAUGCGUAGGUUGCAAGCGUUAAUCGGCAUUACUGGGCGAAAAGCGUGGGAAGGCGGUUCGGAAAGAAAGAUGUGAAAUCCCAGGGCUCAACCUUGGAACUGCAUUUUUAACUGCCGAGCUAGAGUAUGUCAGAGGGGGGUAGAAUUCCACGUGUAGCAGUGAAAUGAGUAGAUAUGUGGAGGAAUACCGAUGGCGAAGGCAGCCCCCUGGGAUAAUACUGACGCUCAGACACGAAAGCGUGGGGAGCAAACAG
rnacentral:rRNA from 1 species